UACGUAGGGUGCAAGCGUUAAUCGGAAUUACUGGGCGUAAAGCGUGCGCAGGCGGUUAUGCAAGACAGAGGUGAAAUCCCCGGGCUCAACCUGGGAACUGCCUUUGUGGCUGCAUAGCUAGAGUACGGUAGAGGGGGAUGGAAUUCCGCGUGUAGCAGUGAAAUGCGUAGAUAUGCGGAGGAACACCGAUGGCGAAGGCAAUCCCCUGGACCUGUACUGACGCUCAUGCACGAAAGCGUGGGGAGCAAACGGG
rnacentral:rRNA from 1 species